GGCUUUACAAGAUAAUAAAGUAAAGCUAGCCAGCAAGGGUGCUUACUACCACGAAGAUGCCGAAGGCAAACGAGCUCCGAUACCUUGGAACUCCAACAACUUGAAAAAGUACUACCACUGAGGUGUAAUUUUUCAACCGAGCUGAAAUUUAUAUCAAUUUACUUGCGCAAACUCUUACUUGUAACUCUACUUAAAAUCACUCAAACGGAAUGAAAUAUGGAAAGAGCUAGCCGAAGUUCGGCUGCCGAACUCAAAUGGAGUACCAAGUUCUAUCCCUUGAGAUUCGAAUUUUGACAAAGUAUUCUUAUCAGAAACUAGGGGAGAGUUAGAUGAGCUUAAUGCAAGCUUUGAACUUGUUCCAGUAGUUUUGAUAAGCAACACUUUGUAAAAUUUAGGAAAACGUUAGCCGAGCUACACGCGAGCUCCGAGCUCUCCCCCACCAAAUGUCAAAAUACUUAGCAAAAAAGUUGGCAAAAGUUAGCCGAGCUCCAAGCAAGCUCCAAACUUUUCCCACAAAUUUUUACCAAGUAUAGAAAGAAAAAAUUAAGGAUGAGUUAGCGGAGCUUGAAAACAAAGCUCUGAACUUUAUCCCAUGGGUACUCCUUGAGUAUACGAAGAGUAAUGGAAGUAAAUCGAGCUCAAACUCACGAAAUAGACAACAUUCAAAAAAAAAAAUUCUCAGAGAGAAAGUAUAGUACAAGUGGGAUGCAAAGAAGAUUUAUUCAAGUCUAAAGACAUUCAAGUACAGAGUAGUUCGAAUUACAAAGAUAGUCAAAUACAAGGCUGAAGCCAGUUAAUUACAAAAUUGCCUAAACUAGAUGCCCGGAAGUGAUAGCCGCGAUUUAACUUUAGGCUUCACAGCAGCACUCGCUGACCGGGAUGAAGUUUGCAAUAUCCAACACCGGUGAGACCAUAGCAGAUUGCUUAUCAGCUAUCGGAGAGUUCGUUGCCUUGAAUGAGAGGACAACCCGCUCAGCCCUUGUGGAUAGCUGCCUUAAGAUGACAUAUACAACAGUCACCAAGCAGAUAUCCGAAAGGUAGCCUCCAGAAAGGUGUCCAGAAGAUGGCUUCCGAGAAGGUGUUUGAUUGCAACACCUGACACCGACAAGACCACAUGAGGCCACCGGAGAGGCUUCAUGUUAUAAAACUUUAGGGAACAGAAGCCUCACAUUACAAAAUUUUGGGGGACAAACGAAGGCGUGCUGGCAGCACGAACCGAGCUCUUCCCUAUGGAUACUACUCGCUAUUUUCCAAGGGAUAGCCACCAGGUCCUCCCACUGCCUCAGAUCUACCUCGGCAGCAAAAGGCCCCUGGGGCAAAACUCUGAGAGCAUCAAAUCUAAUCCUAGAGAGAAAAGCGGACUCAAAGAGACUAAAAAAGUUGGGAUGAAGAAAGCAAGAGCAGAGGCCUCCCAAUUUAUAGGCGCGAGCGGAAAGUGAAUCGCUCCUCAUUAAGAGGGAAUCCCAAUGGACUGCUAUUAAUUAGGGAAGCCAACGGUCAGCGUGGGCAUUCAAAAUGUUGGAGCAUGCACCGGGAACACGAUGGUCGCACUUCGCAGGCUGACCGCGAUCUAACAGCCACAUCGCAGCUCCCAUGCACGCCGCGUGUCCUAAAAGGUUUGCGCAUAAGUACAUUUGGCAAAGAUUUAGGUAGAGUUAGCCGAGCUCGAAGAGAGCUCCGAACUCUACCUUGGUAACGUAAGUACACUUGGAAAAAGUGAGGGAAAUGUUAGCCGAGCUCGAAGAGGGUACGAUAUCAAUGCUGCAAACUUUUACGAGAUCACAAUUGUAACAGAAAUUAUAGGGAAGGAUUAGCCGAGUUCGAAGGAGUUCCGAACUUUGUCCCGCAAGAAACUAGAAAAGUAAAGUUGCAACUAUGCUACACUAAAUUUUUUCUAUUAAAAAUUUAAAUGAGAUCCAAACAAGAAACGAACUAAAGACAAAGGACAUUGCAAAAAAAUACCUGUACGAGUACAAAAUAGCUUUACAUGGGAUCAAUAGCUGUUCAAAAUUCAUGACAAUCACAUGGAUGGGCAAAUCUGAAAAAGUAUUCAAAACAAGUUAUCUUCAGGCGUGUUCUCCCUUCGAGCCCCAUGCCUCCAGUAUCCCCCGGCCCCUACUUAGGCGUCAUGCUCUCCUUCAGCUUCCACGCCUUCGUGGCCCACGGCCCUCACUCCUUCAUCCUCUCCGAGCUCCUUUUCUUGAGGAACGUCAGCGUCAGCACAGAACUAGGACUCGAACAAGGAACGAACUUGCGUAGAAGUCGGCUAGCUCCUCCCCAACGUAGUGAUCGCUCGACCGAGUUAAGGACUCGAACAAGGAAUGAAGCCUCUGAAAGCCGAAAAACUGUCGAAGAGACCGCAGUUGUGCGGAAAAUGAAAAGUUCACCAUUAAAGACAAAAAAUCAAGGGUCUUCCAUAAUGAGAAAGACGAACAGUCCAUCAUUAGGGCAGAAGGCGAAGAGUCAACAACCAAAGAAGGCGGCGUAAAGACCACGGUUG
rnacentral:lncRNA from 1 species